rnacentral:rRNA from 1 species
CUGCGGCGGCUAUACAUGCAGUCGUACGCUUCUUUUUCCACCGGAGCUUGCUCCACCGGAAAAAGAGGAGUGGCGAACGGGUGAGUAACACGUGGGUAACCUGCCCAUCAGAAGGGGAUAACACUUGGAAACAGGUGCUAAUACCGUAUAACAAUCGAAACCGCAUGGUUUUGAUUUGAAAGGCGCUUUCGGGUGUCGCUGAUGGAUGGACCCGCGGUGCAUUAGCUAGUUGGUGAGGUAACGGCUCACCAAGGCCACGAUGCAUAGCCGACCUGAGAGGGUGAUCGGCCACAUUGGGACUGAGACACGGCCCAAACUCCUACGGGAGGCAGCAGUAGGGAAUCUUCGGCAAUGGACGAAAGUCUGACCGAGCAACGCCGCGUGAGUGAAGAAGGUUUUCGGAUCGUAAAACUCUGUUGUUAGAGAAGAAUAAGGAUGAGAGUAACUGUUCAUCCCUUGACGGUAUCUAACCAGAAAGCCACGGCUAACUACGUGCCAGCAGCCGCGGUAAUACGUAGGUGGCAAGCGUUGUCCGGAUUUAUUGGGCGUAAAGCGAGCGCAGGCGGUUUCUUAAGUCUGAUGUGAAAGCCCCCGGCUCAACCGGGGAGGGUCAUUGGAAACUGGGAGACUUGAGUGCAGAAGAGGAGAGUGGAAUUCCAUGUGUAGCGGUGAAAUGCGUAGAUAUAUGGAGGAACACCAGUGGCGAAGGCGGCUCUCUGGUCUGUAACUGACGCUGAGGCUCGAAAGCGUGGGGAGCAAACAGGAUUAGAUACCCUGGUAGUCCACGCCGUAAACGAUGAGUGCUAAGUGUUGGAGGGUUUCCGCCCUUCAGUGCUGCAGCUAACGCAUUAAGCACUCCGCCUGGGGAGUACGACCGCAAGGUUGAACCAGAAAAAAAUAAGGGUGUU